GUAGGUGGCAAGCGUUGUCCGGAAUUAUUGGGCGUAAAGCGCGCGCAGGUGGUUCUUUAAGUCUGAUGUGAAAGCCCCCGGCUCAACCGGGGAGGGUCAUUGGAAACUGGGGAACUUGAGUGCAGGAGAGGAAAGUGGAAUUCCACGUGUAGCGGUGAAAUGCAUAGAUAUGUGGAGGAACACCAGUGGCGAAGGCGACUUUCUGGCCUGUAACUGACACUGAGGCGCGAAAGCGUGGGGAGCAAACAGGGAUUAGAUACCCUGGUAGUCCACGCCGUAAACGAUGAGUGCUAAGUGUUGGGGGGGUUUCCGCCCCCUCAGUGCUGCAGCUAACGCAUUAAGCACUCCGCCUGGGAGUACGGUCGCAAGACUG
rnacentral:rRNA from 1 species